UAGAUGGGGAUGAAGCAAAAUCAAUAAUCCAACACUUGAUCUGAUACUAUUAAGUGAAGUUAAACGAUUAUUUUUGCUCCUGAAUCUAC